rnacentral:rRNA from 1 species
CCUACGGGUGGCAGCAGUGGGGAAUAUUGGGCAAUGGGCGCAAGCCUGACGCAGCAACGCCGCGUGAAGGAAGAAGGCUUUCGGGUUGUAAACUUCUUUUCUCAGGGACGAAGCAAGUGACGGUACCUGAGGAAUAAGCCACGGCUAACUACGUGGCAGCAGCCGCGGUAAUACGUAGGUGGCAAGAGUUAUCCGGAUUUAAUGGGUGUAAUGGGCGAGUAGGCGGGAGAGGAAGUCAGAUGGGGAAACCGUGGGCUCAACCUGUGGCCUGCAGUUGAUGAUGUUUUUCUUGAGGACUGGAGGGGCAGACGGAAUUCCUAGUGGAGCGGUGAA